rnacentral:rRNA from 1 species
AUUGAACGCUGGCGGCAGGCCUAACACAUGCAAGUCGAGCGGAUGAAGGGAGCUUGCUCCUGGAUUCAGCGGCGGACGGGUGAGUAAUGCCUAGGAAUCUGCCCGGUAGUGGGGGAUAACGUCCGGAAACGGGCGCUAAUACCGCAUACGUCCUGAGGGAGAAAGUGGGGGAUCUUCGGACCUCACGCUAUCAGAUGAGCCUAGGUCGGAUUAGCUAGUUGGUGGGGUAAAGGCCUACCAAGGCGACGAUCCGUAACUGGUCUGAGAGGAUGAUCAGUCACACUGGAACUGAGACACGGUCCAGACUCCUACGGGAGGCAGCAGUGGGGAAUAUUGGACAAUGGGCGAAAGCCUGAUCCAGCCAUGCCGCGUGUGUGAAGAAGGUCUUCGGAUUGUAAAGCACUUUAAGUUGGGAGGAAGGGCAGUAAGUUAAUACCUUGCUGUUUUGACGUUACCAACAGAAGAAGCACCGGCUAACUUCGU